UUCACAAAGUAGAUGACCAGUUUAGUUUAGUUUAGUAAACUAUGACAAAGAUUCUCAUUAUAUGUUCUUUGUAAAGUAGCCCAACUUACUUUUGAAGUGAACAGAAAAUACCAAUAUCAUGCACGAAUGCAUUUGUGGUUUGCAGUGUAAUUUUCAGUGACAGCCCCAGUCUCGUCUGAAUAACA